rnacentral:rRNA from 1 species
UAGGGAAUCUUCCGCAAUGGACGAAAGUCUGACGGAGCAACGCCGCGUGAGUGAAGAAGGAUUUCGGUUCGUAAAACUCUGUUGUUAGGGAAGAAAAAAUGUAUAGUAACUAUAUACAAAAGAGACGGUACCUAACCAGAAAGCCACGGCUAACUACGUGCCAGCAGCCGCGGUAAUACGUAGGUGGCAAGCGUUGUCCGGAAUUAUUGGGCGUAAAGCGCGCGCAGGUGGUCUUUCAAGUCGGUGGUUAAAGGCUACGGCUCAACCGUAGUUAGCCUCCGAAACUGGAAGACUUGAGUGCAUGAGAGGAAAGUGGAAUUCCCAGUGUAGCGGUGAAAUGCGUAGAUAUUGGGAGGAACACCAGUAGCGAAGGCGGCUUUCUGGACUGCAACUGACACUGAGGCACGAAAGCGUGGGUAGCAAACAGG